GACGAACGCUGGCGGCGUGCUUAACACAUGCAAGUCGAGCGGUAAGGCCCUUUCGGGGGUACACGAGCGGCGAACGGGUGAGUAACACGUGGGUGACCUGCCCUCAGCUCUGGGAUAAGCCCGGGAAACUGGGUCUAAUACCGGAUAUGACUUCAUGACGCAUGUUGUGGAGUGGAAAGCCUUGUGCGGCUGAGGAUGGGCCCGCGGCCUAUCAGCUUGUUGGUGGGGUGANGGCCUACCAAGGCGACGACGGGUAGCCGGCCUGAGAGGGCGACCGGCCACACUGGGACUGAGAUACGGCCCAGACUCCUACGGGAGG
rnacentral:rRNA from 1 species